CCUGGGUCUGUCAUUGAAAAUGACUUUGAGUGGAGAAUUUUAUAGUCAAGGUCUCUAUAGUGAAUGAGAGAAGGCCUCCAUCUUCCACAGCCAGAAGCAAGGGCAGCUAGCUACAGCUCCGAGAACAAGAAAGAAUUCGCAGUAUGUUGUUUGAUGUUUCGAGGCAGCCAAGGAAAGAAUGACUGAAUUUUAAGGAGAUGGUCCAGAGAUGCUUGCAGACAUUUUGCUGAUAUGCAGAUGCAUUCUCCUGGCGGCAUCUCCAGCAUGAACAGAGCCCUCUACAGCCAGCAAUGGGUGAUGCACACGGGGUCCAAGAACCUCCGCAGACCCUUGGCACACUGAUUGGGCAUGCCAGGUCUGUGACUUCUGUCCCACAGAUGUGACCUUGCCUGCCUGCCUCCCACAUCUUUUUAAUUAAGUCUUUCUUGCACAA